rnacentral:lncRNA from 1 species
AUUUUGUUUUGAACGCAUAUUGACAGCACGCUUUACUUAGUAGCCGGUUCCCAUUUGCCAUACAAUGUAGGUUCUGCUUAAUGUAACUUCUUUUUUGCUUAAGCAUUUGCAUGACUAUUAGUGCUUCAAAGUCAAUUUUUAAAAAUGCACAAGUUAUAAAUACAGAAGAAAGAGCAACCCACCAAACCUAACAAGGACCCCCGAACACUUUCAUACUAAGACUGUAAGUAGAUCUCAGUUCUGCGUUUAUUGUAAGUUGAUAAAAACAUCUGGAAGAAAAUGACUAAAACUGUUUGCAUCUUUGUAUGUAUUUAUUACUUGAUGUAAUAAAGCUUAUUUUCAUUAACAAUUUGUAUUAAAAUGUGGGUUCCUUGAAUUCUUACGUGCUGUUUUAUUUUUUUGAGACAGGGUCUUGUUUUGCCACCCAGGCUGGAGUGCAGUAAUAUAAUCUUGGCUCACCGCAGCCUCAACCUCCUGGGCUCAAGCAAUCCUCCCAUCUCAGCCUCCCUAGUGGCUGGAACUACAGGUGUGUGCCACUAUGCCUGAAUAAUUUUUAAAAGACUUUUUGUAUUGAAUGAAUGGGUGUGUGAUGGAAAAAAAAUUUUUUUUGCAGAGAUGAGGUCUCACUAUGUUGCCUAGGCUGGAUCCUGGGCUCAAGUGAUCCUUCCACCUUAGCCUCUCAAAGUACUGGGAUUAUAGGUGUGAGCUACCACGCCUGGUGUAAAGAAGUGCUAUUUUAAAUAAUCUCUCAUGAAAGUGUUUGAAAUGCUUGUUCCCCGGUGCCGUGAAGAAAUAGCACUUGAACAUAAAUUUAAUUUACUCAGCAAGGCCAUUUUUACUUCCCGCAGAAAGGGUACAUUCGCCAGCAGUUUUGCCACGAGAGUACACCGAACAAAGAGACAGGGUCAUUUGUAACCUGAUGCGUCCACCCUACUGCUGUGUCCGGUUUCCAUUGGCUGGAACGGGACCUCAUAUUCUGUAUUUGUCCUGAUUGGGAAGCAACUUAAAACUUUUUAAAAGAGGCGAAGGCAGAAGAGAACAAAGGAAGGAGAAAGUAACUUGUGGAAUGGUGAGAAAGGCAUGAGGCGAAUUCUCAGCCAUGACAAGGCUGAAGGCCAGCAGGAACAGGCUCUAGCGAAAUGGGUGCUGUGUCCCCUUCCUGCAUGUGGCAGAAAGUUGCAAAGGACUCUCUCGUGAUCCCUGAGGCAGAUGGACUGGGAGCCCCUCUGACCAACCUUCUUUUUUUUUUUUUUAAGAGGGAAUCUUGUCUGUUGCCCAGGCUGGUAUGCAGUAGCAUGAUCUCGGCUCACUGCAAUGUCUGCCUCCAGGGUUCAAGCGAUUCUCCUGCCUUAGCCUCCGAGUAACUGGGAUUACAGGCACGCGCCACCACACCCGGCUAAUUUUUGUAUUUUCAGUAGAGAUGGGGUUUUGCCAUGUUGACCAGACUGGUCUCGAACUCCUGACCUCAGG